UGCAACAGCACUGCUGUACUACAGCCCUAAGGGACAGAAAGAAGAUACAGCAGCAGAGGUCAGCUGGAGCACAGGGGCCUCAUGUAGCUGGAGCUCUUUCAGGGAUUAUAGAGGGAAAACUGGACUGAAUACUUUGAACUAAUCUACAUGGGAGCCGAUCUCAUUUCUGUGAUCACGGAGAGAGAAAGAGAAUGAGUCAACUGUGUUGACUACUUUCUUUUAUCCCCUCUUAUCACUUUGUUGAACGAGCAACAUCUCAGCACCAGGACUGGGAUUCAAGUAGUUCCCUCUGAUCAGAUUUUGAGUACAGUUUGGAUAAAAUGGACUUUUGACAUUCAACACAAUAGGAUCAUGGCCAACCUGAGCUUCCAGAAUAGUAACUCAAAUGCUCUAAGGUCAAAGCUGUCUUCUAUGGGCUUUUGAAAUCUCCAUAUCUGCAUGAAGUAUCAGUUCUGCCUCCACCCAGUACCCUGGACUCUUGGGCAGAUGCUCACUUUCUUUUCACUGGAUCAAACUCUGUGUGAUAUGAAAAAGGUAGGUGCAGCUUGC
rnacentral:lncRNA from 1 species